GACGAACGCUGGCGGCGUGCUUAACACAUGCAAGUCGAACGAUGAACCCGGAGCUUGCUCUGGGGGAUUAGUGGCGAACGGGUGAGUAACACGUGAGUAACCUGCCCUGGACUCUGGGAUAAGCGUUGGAAACGACGUCUAAUACCGGAUAGGACCUUGGAUCGCAUGAUCUGGGGCGGAAAGUUUUUUCGGUCGGGGUCGGACUCGCGGCCUAUCAGCUUGUUGGUGAGGUAAUGGCUCACCAAGGCAUCGACAGGUAGCCGGCCUGCGAGGGUAACCGGCCACACUGGGACUGACUAACGGCCCAGACUCCUGCGGAUGGCAGCCGUUGGGAGUAUGGCUCACUGAGCGAAAGCCUGAUGCAGCAACGCCGCGUGCGGGAUGACAGCCUUCGGGUUGUAAACCGCUUUUAGUAGGGAAGAAGGGCUUCGGCUUGACGGUACCUGCAGAAAAAGGACCGGCUAACUACGUG
rnacentral:rRNA from 1 species